UGGAAACUGUCUGGUCUUCGUCAUCAGUAAAGAGAGACGCACAGACGAUCAGACCUCAGACCAAACUAGCAGCUUCCUCUGAGUGAGUCCAGCUACAGGAGAGAAAAGUGGAAAACUCCAACACUGCUGCUUCAAGCUGCUGACGCUCCACACACUGAAUCUUCACUCACAGACUCAAUGGCUUCCAGAUCAGAGGAGGAUCUCUGCUGUCCGGUCUGUCGGGAGGUUUUCAGAGAUCCUGUUCUUCUGUCAUGUAGCCACAGCUUCUGUAAAGACUGUCUGAAGAGAUGGUG